UCUUGCUGACGCCGCCGGCGCCGAUCACCAGCAGCUGCUUGCCGUCCAUGAGGUGGCGCCCUGAGCGCCGCAGCAUAGUCUCCACCAGCGGCGCUGCCGCUGCCUCCUCAGCUGAGCGUCUUAGGCGUGGCACGGCCCACAGCCCCUCGAGCGCGCCGCAGGCCUCUAGGCACAGGCCACUGUUCAGCUUAAGGACCACGGGCGUCAGCGUGCGUCCGAUCACCGUGAGAACUAAGUCCACGCCUGGGCCGGGCGAGAAUGCGCGGAAUGAGCUUCCCACAACCCCGGUCCCCAAGCCGCCCAGGCCGAGCCGCGCCUCCCGUCCGUCCUCACCGAGGAAGUCGGUGUGCACUUGGCGUCCACCACGCUGCUCCACACUCAGUCCAGCCUCCAGGGCCAGCACAGCGGCCAACGCGCCUUCGGCUGCUUCUUUGAUGCCCUGCUCCAGAAGCGCCACCUGCGCCUCCUCUUCCAGGCCACACUGAGCCAGCGCCACCCUCAGUGUCCUUGGCAGGGUAUAGUGGUGCCGCACGGGUCGAUCCCCACGGCCCACGCCACACACCACCUGACCACAGUGCAGUUCAGAAGGGGCUGGCCUGGGAGAAGCCCUCCAAAGCUCACCCUUCUAAGUACCCCUUAGACACCUGUGCAUCUUCCCUACGCCAAGAUCCAGGCCCCACCUUCCCUGCACUUCAAGAACCCUUUCUUCAUCAAGACCUAAACUUUACAAAUCUCUCUCAGCAUCACUGGCCAUCUGAUGCCCAGAUCCCUUGGGGUUACCCUGGCUUCCAGGCCCAGCUCGAAGAGUUGUGGCAUGCUUGCUCCAACCUACUAUAGCUAUACUGGUUUUUCCUAGCCUUAGCAUGUCUCUUGAAAAACCCUCAUUAUCUCCCCUAGAGCUCUGCUGAGUACCCAGGAGGUCCCCCAAGCCUUCCUGGGUUCCUCAGCUUGGCACCUUCUUAUGGGACUGAUCCUGAGUUAGUUUCUUCUGUAAGGAGAAGCAUUCUGGAAAAGGAAUCAGGCCCCCAGGACAAGGAACAAGGGUUAAGCACAAGAGCUCGGGCUCCUGAUACACAAGGGUUAAGGAAGGUUGAAGAGGAAGAAAAAAACAUAUCAACCCUAGGAGUCCCCCUGGAAGCAACCAGAGCCCACACACACCAAAUCAUUUCCUCUCUACACCAGGCAGACCCUCAGUAGAGCAGUGGGGCUAGGCAGAGCUGGGGUGGACAGGACUGUGUCCUAGACCUGAGCCAUUCUCACCUUACUCAGUAGGGGCCUAUCACCCUGAAUCCGACACACCACUGCACAGAUACGCACAGCCAGCUCAGGGCCAGGUGCAGGACCGCCUGGAGGAAUAUGAGAAGUCUAAGCCCAGAAGCGGUCUAGAGGUCAGUCUCUGCUCCCAAUUUCUGGCUGGCUCAGGCGAGAACCUGGUAAGGGCAGCCGGACAGGUGGGCACAUGGCCUCCACAAGGACACUCUCCUCCUCCUCCAGCUUCUCCAGCAAUCCCAGCACCGUGUUCACCACUGUGGAUGGCUCUACCCGCAGGUGCAGAGGCAAUGCCUGCUGUCCACGCCAGCGACAGCCACUGAGCCUCACAGCCACCUACAGCAGAAAAAGGGAAGGACCUUUCUCACCACCACUACCUCAUGUGCCUGAAAGGUAGGAUGCUCAUGCCACAGGUGCCAGUAACUAAACUGAGGAAGGCACAGGGCACUGAUAUGGUGGAAUGGGACAGUGGCUAAGAGUUUGGGAUGAUUUCCCAGCAGGACUUGGUAAUGACAACCUGGGUUCCCUCCUGUGGGGGCCCACACAGACCUCAGUGCAGAGAGGGGCCUGUUGUUACCUGUGAAGCAUCACCCAAGGCCUCGGAGUGCACAAAGGCCUCUACUUCCUCUUUCACCAGUGUUUCCUGGCCCUCCUUCCCACUGAGUUCCACCAGCCGGAGUCCAGGGCUGGCAUCCCCUCCCCGAAGCAGCCCCGGAGGCCUAUAAGUGAAAGCCAGGGUAGCUGGCACGGCCACACCACUCUGCUGGGACAGCAACCACCUCAUCAGCAGCCGGUUCUCCAGCAGCUGGGACAGCUCCGAUGAGGUUCCUGUGGGGCAAGUGAGAUUCCGAGCCAGCUCUGCUGCCUCCUUGCCACGGCCAGAUUCUGGCCCCAGGCCUGCCAGGAACUGAAGAUCAUUUGGUCCACACAAAAUUAUUCAUGACCCACCUGAUCUAUGAAACAAGGAGGCAUCUUGGGAUCGCAACUGCUCAGCUGCAUCCAUAGCAUCUCCUAAGACAUCGCUCUAGAAGUUUCAGCUCCACAGAAUAUGCAAUGAUAUCGUGGAUUUCCAGGGAGCAGGAUGGGUAAGGUGGGACAUGGUGGGGAGCCCUGACCUGAUGUCCUUGGAGACAAGACCUGCCUGCCCUAGGCCCUCUGGUUUUGCCUUUAGAUGGAACCAGAGCCUGGGGGAGGAGCCAGCCUGGACAGACAAGGGGAAGCAACUGAACUGAAGGUCCCUCCCCUGUCUCUGGGAGGCCUGUUUUGUGGAGCCCUGAGGCACCUGUACGAGGUGCCUGGCUGCGAUCCUGGGUCUCAGGAAGGCCAGCUUGCUGCAGACAACUCUGAAGGAGACCGUAGUAGUACACAGUCCAGGCCCGAGCCUCAGUCUCUUCCGGGGAGCCCUUGCAAUCCAGGCUGAUAUCCUGGCGCCAGGGCCCAGGGAAGCAGCCUGUGGGUGGCAGGCCAGCACCGCUUUUCCAUGGUUCUUCCUUUCCAUCCAGGUCCUUGGAGUCCCACUCCGUACCCAGUGGAUCCAGGCAGAGCUGAGCAGGGGGCAGAAACAGUACGUCUUGGGCAGGAUUGGCAAAGGAGUAUCUUAAAUCACUCAAUGGUAUAAGCCAACCUCCCAGUCUUCCCGUCCGGGUCAAGUUCAAAGGGCCAGAAGAGGAAGGAGUUGGGGGAGGGAAGGUUUGCCAAGUGGGAACUGUGGCUAGGUACGGUACACUGAUAAAUGUAGUGUCUUGGGCCAGCGAAUGGGAAGGGAGGAAGGGACAUACUCCUCGAAUUGGACUGCUGAUCCCCAUCACACCUAGGGUCUGUCCUAGCUGGGAUCACAGGAGCCUGGGUUUUGUUACUGGAAUCCCAGCUCCACAGAGUGCUGACACACAGUAACUGGUCCACAGAUAUUUCCUAACUGAAAUACUUCAACCAUUGUCUAGCCCUGUUCUCUCUGGGACUCAGUGACUCAUCUACCAUCAUGGAGUCUGCUGUUACUUUUUAGGAGAAUUUAUUUCCUCCUCAUCACCCUGAUGUAACACCUUGAGGAUUGGCAUCCUUUUUAUUAUUGGUGUUUUGUUUUGUUUUGUUUUGUUUUGAGACAGGGUUUUAUGUAGUUGAGGCUGGCCUCAAACUUGAGUAUAGUGGAGAAUGACCUUGAACUUUUGAUCCACAUAUCUCUGCCUCCUGAGGGCUGGGAUAAUCGGCAUGUUCCACCACAGCAGGUUUACAUGGUGCUGGGGAUGGAACUCAGCCUCCUGUAGGCUGAGCCGACACUUUACCAGCUACCUUGUAACCUCAGCCCCUCCUUUUGUUCCUUUUUCUUCUUCAUUUUUCUUUUCCUUUUCUUGAGUCAGGCUGACCUCACACUCAAGGCCCUCUGCCUCCCAAGCAGUGAGAUUACAGGUGUGCACCACUACCUCUGAUUUCAUACAGAGCUGGGGGUUGAACCCAGGGCCCACUGUGUGCCAGGCAAGCAUUCUCUAAGCAAAUUAGUUUGGUCCAGUUGGUUGGUUGGUUGAUGGGUUUGCUGUGUGGCUCAGGGAGGCCUUGAACUGGCAAUCCUUUUGCUUCAGACUUCUGAAUGCCAGGAUUAAAAGCAUGUGUCACC
ensembl:lincRNA Gm17552 predicted gene, 17552